GCCCAGACAGACACGACUGUUUUGGCUUCUGUCGUUUCUAUUUUUCUGCUAUCACCAGGCAUGCACUCAAGGUCCUGGAUCUGAUUGGAAGUGGUGGCCAACCCAAGUGCCUGCUGGCGCCCCCUGGUGGAAGAGCAAAGGAUAAAAAAACACCAUCUGGCCCAGGAAGGAAAAAAAAAAGAUAAGGUCCAGGAAAGGGGGAGCUGCGUGGAUCUUCCCAGCCGAGUUUAAAGAGCUAUACUGAACCGAGCGACUUCACAAACGUUCCAAGCCAAACGGAGCGGGAUGAACAACAAACACCAGCAGCUCGCUCGCUUGCUCGCAUGAUGUUUCCAGGAAUCACCCUGCCCAGUAAAGAAAACAACGCCCAAAGUCUGCAAGUUAACCAGUUCAAGGCCACGAUGUCUUAUGGAGACCAGGCUGACCCACUAUGUGCUCUGUAGCUCAGGCUGCUCUUGAAUGUCUGAUUCUUCUCUGACUGACUCCCAAAUGCUGGGAUUAUAGGAAUGCAACACCAUACCCAGCCAGAAGAUCUUGUCGCGGUCAAAUAUUUAAUAAGCAUAAUGGAGCAGUAAAAAAUCUCCCCCCAAAUGAAGUAAAAUUGAGAACUAUCCAGUGUUUUGUUUUAUUUUCCAA
rnacentral:sRNA from 1 species